GAUGAAGAACGCAGCGAAAUGCGAUAAGUAAUGUGAAUUGCAGAAUUCAGUGAAUCAUCGAAUCUUUGAACGCACAUUGCGCCCCUUGGUAUUCCAUGGGGCAUGCCUGUUCGAGCGUCAUUUGUACCCUCAAGCUUUGCUUGGUGUUGGGUGUUUGUCCCGCGUUGCGCGUGGACUCGCCUUAAAGCGAUUGGCAGCCGGCAUAUUGGCCUUGGAGCGCAGCACAUUUUGCGCUUCUAGUCAUGAAUGUUGGCGUCCAUUAAGCCUAUACAUUUGCUCUUGACCUCGGAUCAGGUAGGGAUACCCGCUGAACUUAAGCAUAUCAAUAAGCGGAGGA
rnacentral:misc_RNA from 1 species